rnacentral:rRNA from 1 species
GAUGAACGCUGGCGGCGUGCCUAAUACAUGCAAGUCGAGCGAACGGACGAGAAGCUUGCUUCUCUGAUGUUAGCGGCGGACGGGUGAGUAACACGUGGAUAACCUACCUAUAAGACUGGGAUAACUUCGGGAAACCGUAGCUAAUACCGGAUAAUAUUUUGAACCGCAUGGUUCAAAAGUGAAAGACGGUCUUGCUGUCACUUAUAGAUGGAUCCGCGCUGCAUUAGCUAGUUGUUAAGGUAACGGCUUACCAAGGCAACGAUGCAUAGCCGACCUGAGAGGGGGAUCGGCCACACUGGAACUGGGACACGGUCCAGACUCCUACGGGAGGCAGCAGUAGGGAAUCUUCCGCAAUGGGCGAAAGCCUGACGGAGCAACGCCGCGUGAGUGAUGAAGGUCUUCGGAUCGUAAAACUCUGUUAUUAGGGAAGAACAUAUGUGUAAGUAACUGUGCACAUCUUGACGGUACCUAAUCAGAAAGCCACGGCUAACUACGUG